rnacentral:lncRNA from 1 species
UAUAAACUGGGACUUGCAAAGCUUAUCCUAAAUUGCCAUGGGCCAAUAAAGGACUGAGUAAAAGUAAAGAAAUAACUUUGCUUUUAAAUAAAAAUGGCAAGCACAAAGACAUGCGCAUGAGAUGUGUGGCUCGAUUUCUAACUGAGAAGGUUUGUUGAGAUUAAAAGGAUAUCCGCUUGUCGCAGUCUCGCGUUAGCAGCAUACCCUCCUAACCUCGGCUAAGAAAUUCAGAGAAAAGAAAGGCAACCUCUACAUCGCAGUCUCGCGUUCGAGGUCGUAUCUUUCUUAACACCAUCCUAGAAAUCCUAUGGUGGCCCAGGUCCGGCGGCCGGGUUGUGUGUGCCGUAGUGCUAAAACAUUUAAGGAUGCACAGUAGUUUAUCAUCACAAAACAUUUUAUUUUCACAGAAUAAAAAAACUUUAAGCUAUUACCCUGCACAAAAGAAAAAAAAUCCAAGUCAGCAAAGCAUUUAAACAAAGAUAAAAACGGCCUAAGUCUUCAAAGUCCCCAGUGGAGUCGCCAAGCUGUCACGACCUCUUUUUUUUCUCGGCGCCCGCAAUCGAGUACGAGCGCCUAAAGGAAGGCUAAUGGCUCGGCUGAAAUUAAUUAUGCCCGGACUCUCCCAAGUCCACCAAUUGACGACUUAAUGGUCUAAAUUUUUUAACCUGUAAAUUAAUUUUAAAACGGAGUCGCCACUAAUCGGUUUGGGGUGGGUCGAUUAGAAACCCAAGCGAAGUAUUGGGAGAAAUACUCGCUCCUGUGCAACCAAAGAAAUUAGGAUCGGGGACUUGAUUACACUAGUUAAUCACUAAUGCCCUUUCGGUAUCUAAUCUUGUUUAAACCUUGAGGUUUUUUGGAUGUUUGAGAGAUUUUCCAUGCAUUUUAUGGAGGAAAAACAUUUUUGGGACCUUUUUCUAUUUUUUGAAAGUAAAAGGGAUUUUUUGGAUUUUUUGCUUUUUUUUUUAAAUAAGACUUUUUGGCAUUUUAUGAAUUUUUUUUUUUGGCUUUUUCCAUGAAUUUUUGGUUUUUUUUGGGAUUUUUGGGAUUUUUUGGAAAAUAUGAAAUUUUUUUGAUUUUUUUGAAAAUAAUUUUAUUUAUUUAUUUAUUAUUAUUUUAAAAAAAUAUUAUUUUAUAUUAUUAAAAAAAAAUGAAUCGGGUCGGAUCCCCGGGUUGGGUCCGACUUGCUUCGUCUGCCCGAGAAACAGACGGGCCCGCAACGCGGGCCUGACUCAGGUUUUUUUUUUCUCCUCCCAUUUAAAAAAAAUAAGCCCAAACCACUCUUGGCCCGUUUUAUAAAAAUUCCAGUUCAAAAACUACCCGGCCCACGCGCACAACCCGGCCUGGGGAAACCCUACCCGGAAACAGGGGAACCGGGUCGCGACAGACCCACGAAUCGACCCGGUUCCCGGCCUCCUCUACCCCUUGCUCUCUCGCGGCGCUGAUGAGAGGGACUGUGGCGUCACCGGGCAGAUGGCGGCGACGGUGGAGACGACGGUGACGACAGUGGAGACGACGACGACGACGGUGGAGACGACAACGACAAUCCAUUUAUGAGGACGGCGAGGAUGAGUGAUAACGGGUCUGUGUUGGUGAUUUCAGUGGCGGCAUGGUUCGAAAGGGGGGGUGCGACGGGGACUACGCGACCGGGGGCGGUGGAUACGAGUGUCGUUACCUGUUCGCGACGAGAUGCGCAAGUUGCCUUCACGGCUCCGGUUUUCACAGCACGGCGGCGAUGUGAGCAGCAGGUGUAGGGGUGUGACGGGGACGGCACGGCUCAACGAUGGCGACAGAACCCUGCUCUCCGAAGUCCACUCAGAUCUGGACGACGUCGAGGAAAGCGGCAGCGGCGAGGCGUGAGGACGGCGGCACGGCAGGAUCUGGGGCAGUAGCGGAGUCGGGACGGGGCAGCGACAGCAGGCCCUCAACCUCCAGAUCUGGUGCGGUUUGGGCGAAUCGAUUGCGGCAACGGCGUUGGAACGGUGGCGGAGCAGCAGCAGUGUCUGCGAAGGCGAGUCUUCGGCUUCCCAGAUCUGGUCCUCCGGAACCUCCUCUCUCCGGCUUCAAUCUUCUCUCACUCAGGCCAGAUCCGAGCCUCCACCGGCCGGAUCUGACUUUCUCGAAGUCGCUUGCCGCUUGCCUUCCCCGAAGUCUCUCGGUGGAGGGUGGGCUGAGCUCGCGACUCGAGUUCUCUCCCGCGCUUGCCCUUCAAUCCUUUAUGAUGUCUCUCAGUGAAGGAUCUCCGAGCUUGCCUAUACCCUUCGACGAUGCUUGCGGCCACCUAUUUAUAGGCGAAGGAAAUCCGGUCGACGGAGGGGCUCGGUCGCCGGCCUCCGGCUUGCCCACCGGUUCCGCUCGGCUGAACCAGUGUCCCAU